rnacentral:rRNA from 1 species
GAUGAACGCUAGCGGCAGGCUUAAUACAUGCAAGUCGUGGGGCAGCAUGAGUGUAGCAAUACAUUUGAUGGCGACCGGCAAACGGGUGCGGAACACGUACACAACCUUCCUAUAAGUGAGGAAUAGCCCAGAGAAAUUUGGAUUAAUACCCCGUAACAUAAUGAUGUGGCAUCACAUUAUUAUUAUAGCUUCGGCGCUUAUUGAUGGGUGUGCGGCUGAUUAGAUAGUUGGCGGGGUAACGGCCCACCAAGUCUACGAUCAGUAGCUGAUGUGAGAGCAUGAUCAGCCACACGGGCACUGAGACACGGGCCCGACUCCUACGGGAGGCAGCAGUAAGGAAUAUUGGUCAAUGGACGCAAGUCUGAACCAGCCAUGCCGCGUGAAGGAUUAAGGUCCUCUGGAUUGUAAACUUCUUUUAUCUGGGACGAAAAAAGGCGAUUCUUCGUCACUUGACGGUACCAGAUGAAUAAGCACCGGCUAACUCCGUGCCAGCAGCCGCAGUAACAC